GCACUACUGAAGAGUCCUACAACAAGACGAAACGGUCGUCCAGUGC
rfam:Schistosoma haematobium scaffold700_1, whole genome shotgun sequence.